GAUGAACGCUAGCUACAGGCUUAACACAUGCGAGUCGAGGGGAAACGGCAUUGAGUGCUUGCACUCUUUGGACGUCGACCGGCGCACGGGUGAGUAACGCGUAUCCAACCUUCCCAUUACUGUGGGAUAACCUGCCGAAAGGCAGACUAAUACCGCAUAGUCUUCGAUGACGGCAUCAGAUUUGAAGUAAAGAUUUAUCGGUAAUGGAUGGGGAUGCGUCUGAUUAGCUUGUUGGCGGGGUAACGGCCCACCAAGGCUACGAUCAGUAGGGGUUCUGAGAGGAAGGUCCCCCACAUUGGAACUGAGACACGGUCCAAACUCCUACGGGAGGCAGCAGUGAGGAAUAUUGGUCAAUGGACGGAAGUCUGAACCAGCCAAGUAGCGUGCAGGAUGACGGCCCUAUGGGUUGUAAACUGCUUUUGUAUGGGGAUAAAGUUAGGGACGUGUCCCUAUUUGCAGGUACCAUACGAAUAAGGACCGGCUAAUUCCGUG
rnacentral:rRNA from 1 species